rnacentral:rRNA from 1 species
AGCAGUCGCCGCGGUAAUACAGAGGGUGCGAGCGUUAAUCGGAUUUACUGGGCGUAAAGCGUGCGUAGGCGGCUAAUUGAGUCGGAUGUGAAAUCCCCGAGCUUAACUUGGGAAUUGCAUUCGAUACUGGUUAGCUAGAGUGUGGGAGAGGAUGGUAGAAUUCCAGGUGUAGCGGUGAAAUGCGUAGAGAUCUGGAGGAAUACCGAUGGCGAAGGCAGCCAUCUGGCCUAAUACUGACGCUGAGGUACGAAAGCAUGGGGAGCAAACAGGAUUAGAUACCCCCGUAGUCCCUGUCUCUUAUAC